GUGAAAUACCUGAAUGCUCACCCUGGAGUGGUUUUCAAAUGCUGCAGGAUAGCACAAUACAGGCUCAUCUGUUCUGCUCUCCCUUUCAUCACCUACACUGAGGCCAGAAGGUGCCAUGCUGCUUACAUGCAGAAGGAACAAUUAGUACAUGUCAGAAGUUUCUUGCUCAGUUCAAAAGACAGCAGCUCAACUGAAUGCUGCUAGACUGACAAACAGAUAAUGAAAGACUUGAGGUCAGGAGAGCAAUCCAGAGUUGUUCCCUGAGUACUGUCUUUAGGGAAAAAGCUGAGUGAUUAUGAUGAUGAUGAAUGGACCCAAACACCCUAAAUUAAACAAACUUUGUGCCUGAUAUAUAGAUGAAGAUGGUGUCAUCUUGAAGUCUUAAAAGCAUCAUGUAACCAUGAAGUGAUCAGUGAAAUCACUUAAAAAGAUCACUGAUCUUUUUAAAUGUUAAGAAAUUGGACUAUAAUGGGAUAGUUCACCCCCAAAUUUUAUUUUAUUUUCAUUUACUCAAACCCAUAUGACUUACUUUAUUACGUGGCACACAUCAAAUGCAAUUCACUUCCAUUGCAAUUUUUUUCAUACAUGGUGACAGAAGCAAUCAUUCAGCAUCCUUUAAUGUGCCACAGAAAAAAGUCAAA